rnacentral:sRNA from 1 species
UGCUUCUGAAGUUUAUGAGGAUGAGAAUCUCCGGGGCAGGAGGUUCGACCCUCGCGAAGCGAGAGAACGUUGCUUUAGCAACGGCCCGAAGGGCGAGCCACGCAGUGGCGAGUCAUCCUCUCUCGCCGACCA